rnacentral:piRNA from 1 species
UGGAAGUAUAAGACAAAUGAACCUUGUCCAC